UAACACGUUGAACCCCUGCCGGACGCCUAAAACGAACCCACCAACCUCCAACCACGCAUCCCACCUCCCUUCUCCUCUGCCACAAUUCCCCUCCCCAGAUCCACCUUCUGCUCUUCCAGGGCGCGUCGCCCCAUCCCCACUGGAUUUCUUCCCACACCGACGCCGCCCCACCCCCAACCCGCUUCUUGCCCCGCCGACGCCGCCCCACCCCCAUCCGGCUUCUCCCACGCCGGUUCCGCCGCUGCCAAGCAACGGCCUUCCCGCACCCAUCUCCUCCUCCUCCCCGUGGUCAUGGUGCCACCACGUCCCGUCCGGUGCGCUUGAUGCUCUGCCUUCCCCUCCCCAGACCGGCCUUCCAUCAACGGCGGUCAGAUCCACCUUCCAACCCCGCCUCAUCGCGGUAAGCUUCGGCUCGCAGCCGACGGAGGCCCCACUGUCGGACAUCGUGCCACCACCAACCUCGGCUGCGAGGGUCCCUCGUCCCCUUCCAUGGCGAGCUAUGCCUCGCGUGGGACUCGGACCACCCCACCACCAGAUCCAUCCAGGGGAGGCAGAGGGGCUCUGGGCCGCCGCCACCUCCAUGAAGGGGUGCUCCGGACCGCCACCGCCGACGUCGCGCCCUUGCCUUCCCCACUGGAUGCAGCCUCACAGCGGUUUAGGCCACCAGCGGAGAGGAGGAAGGAGAAGUUCUUGUAUCCGGCCCCGCUACCUACCAGCACCGAUCUGGUUCCCCUCCCCCAAGCCGUACCUCGACGAGCUCUUACCUGUGUGCUAGUACUUGUGGACUAUAGCGACUGCGGCAGCCAAAAACACCAGUCGCCGUUCAGUUUCAUUGUGAAAAUCCUUGGCGCUGGCCACGCCCCGCCUUUUCCUGCUGCUUCGUCUGAGGCGAGGACGGCUUCCUCUCUCUGCCAUGUCAACCUCCGACCUUCACUACUUGCGCACGGAGUGCAUACUCCCUUCGGCGAGGAGCGAGGUCCAAUCCCAGUGGGCACGCGAUACGGUUUGAUGCGCGUGGCCGUGGAGUGCAGUUGACGCCCCGUGUGCACCUCACUGACGUGGUCCGAUAAAAAACUUCGGUUUUGUGCGGUUCCUGUGCAGUGCGUAUCAUCUUUUUUUGAGAAAAAGCAGUGCGCAUCAUCUAGUUCCACCUUUUCUUCACUUUCCGCCGGCGAAUAUGGCCCUGGUGGUGCUUUCCAUUGACCGUGAGGACAACGACCUCGCCCCUGUACUCCCCCUUUACCUCUCACCGUGCACAGGGCACAUGGCCCAUUGCCGCCGACCCUCAGCGGUCCAAUAUAAUUUUGCAGUCAAAUUGUUGGUGUUCUUUUUUACAAUAUAGGUACAGUUCGUUGUAAAUCCCUUUGUGGUUCACUUUGUGAAAAAGAGAGAGAAAAUAAUUGCAUC